rnacentral:rRNA from 1 species
AAUCAACGCUGGCGGCGUGCCUAACACAUGCAAGUCGGGCGAGAAAAGGGGAGCAAUCCCCUGAGUACAGCGGCGCACGGGUGAGUAACACGUGGGUAAUCUGCCCUGGAGUGGGGAAUAACACCGGGAAACCGGUGCUAAUACCGCAUACGAUCACAGAGUCUGCGGAUUGUGAGAGGAAAGGAGCAAUUCGCUCUAGGAGGAGCCCGCGGCUGAUUAGCUAGUUGGUGAGGUAAUGGCUCACCAAGGCAACGAUCAGUAUCCGGUCUGAGAGGACGGUCGGACACACUGGAACUGAGACACGGUCCAGACUCCUACGGGAGGCAGCAGUGGGGAAUUUUUGGCAAUGGGGGCAACCCUGACCAAGCAACGCCGCGUGGGUGAUGAAGUCUCUUGGGACGUAAAACCCUUUCGACGGGGACGAAACCGCAAGGUUGACGGUACCCGUAGAAGAAGCCCCGGCUAACUCCGUGCCAGCCGCCGCGGUAA